UCUGGAGAUCUGCUCUGUUGGUGUUUUGUGAGUGAGCCCAGGAUAGGGGAAGGGACUCCAGCUGGCAAUAGGCAAUGUCGGGAUUCUUUGAAGGUUGAAUCUGUCUAACCAGGACAAGGAGAAGAAGACAAGAGUAGCAUCUCUCAAACACAACUACCAGUGCCUUUUCUUCCAGAUUUGGGUCCCACUCCUGCCAUCAACCUACCACAGAUUCUCUGGGUCCAGUACCAGAGGAUGAGAUGCAUGCGGUUGUUCACAGCAUUCACUUGGGAUGCGCUGAGGCCAAAAUCAAAGCAGGUGAUGCUCUAAGCUGAAUCUGGGUCUCCACUGUCUCAGGAACACUCCUGGUUAGUUGUAGCUCUUCUCUAAAAACACUUUUACCUCAGCUUUUAUCUAAACGUGGGAAGUGCCGUGUGCCUUUAGAACAGAGAAAAUCUACGGCUGAAGUUACGUGUCUGAACUGGGUCAUCCGAUAAAUGUAUUAAUGAGCAGAAAUUAGGAAAAACCCUGCAUCUGAGGCUCAGCCUGGUACAAGACCACCUGGCUAAGGAGGGAUGCUGACAGCAGCCAAAAAUGAUUUGGCACAGCUCAGGAGAAGUACCCAGAUGACAGCCUCCUCUACCAGUGAGCUGAGGCCAGCUUGGUCUGCACCACCUGCCAGCAGACUCAACAGCACCAGGACAUUGAGCCCCUUCUUGUCUUGGGAUUCAUCUGGACUGGAAAGGAGUAUUACACAAUGAUUAAAAACUGGGAUCAUGGCUCUCACUGAGACAAAAGGAGACAUCAAGUUUUACACCCAAAACAUUGUAGUGGGCGUACAGGUGGCUCACUGAAUGCAAGUUCAACCAGCAAACCUCUGUUGGAUGGAUGCACACUGACAAGGAAGCACUGACCUGACAGAAAUGUGUCUUUCCAUCCUGGAUGAAGAGCACAGUUUAGAGCUCAAAACACUGCAGAUGUGGUGAUCCUGGUUCUCCUUUAGGACCUGCGCUCAUGACCAGACAGAUGUGCAAAGCAGAUAUAAAGGUGCUUCAUGCACAGUCCCAAGGCAAUGCCAGGAGCCUUAGCACAGUAAAAGUCCUCUGCAAGUGAGCUCCGAUGGCUCUCAGCUCUUUGUCAACCACCCCGCAUAGAGUGGGAAUAAAUUGAAUGCCUCACGAACAAGUGCAGUCAAGCACCACUGGUAUCUCCUGCUUGCCACAGAACGCUGCAGAAGAUUCUGCUGAAUUUCAUCUUUCUCUGACAAAGUGAAAGGGAAAAGGACUCCAAGCUCUCCAGGAGGAUGUCUGCAGCAUGGCUGGAGUGCUCCUUGGUGUCCCCACCCCUGGGCCCACACCAAGUGCCCCAUUCCCAUCUGAGUGCCUAAGGGAAAUGCUGCCUGUGGGCCAGGAAAGCACUGUGUAAGGAGAAGUGGAAGGUUUCCAGCUCCCAAAAAGCGAUUGUUGAGCAUUUCCAAAGGAGCGUAAAAACACUUUGAAGUUCAGUCCAUGAGUUAAUAACCUGCUUUUGGGGGAUGCUUUCAAAUCACAUCCCUAAGGACCAAGCUGCACUUCAUUUUACUAAACAUGGACAUGCAAGGUGCAGCGAGGAUCACCAGGAUGUCCCUCCCACAGAGAUGUGCUGUGACAGAAGAGCUGCACAACCUGCUAGCUGAUGGGCUGGAUAACAGCCCCACAUCCCCAGCAGCCCCACAGACACAGCAGGAGACCAGAUAGCAAAGCAGCACUGAGGCUGCACGGGUCCAGUGAUGCGCGGGGAUCCCCUCUGCAGCAUGUUGUGCACUAAGCCUCCAAAGCUGACAUCCCUUUGAAAGCCCUCUUAAUAUAUCCAAUUAUAGAUUUUCAGCAACUUUGAGGAAUGUUGGCUUUCCCAGCAGCUGACCUCAGAAAACACCAUUGAAACCACGAGGGAUUUUGCUGUUGAGCUCAGUGGGGGAGGAUCAGGUCCUACAUAAUUUUAUUGUCAGCAAUGAUGACCUCUCUUCACAAAUGAAGAAAGCCCCUCCUGAACCAUGCCCUUCAAAAUGCAAACUGUUUAUUUUUAUAGCCGGAUCCUUCCCCGAGUGGGAUAUUCGUGCAUGGUUAACUUAUCCUGGGCUUUAAAUGCUUGCCAAGUGGCUUUAAUAGCAGGAUGUUGUUUAGAAAGAUUGGGAAGG